rnacentral:tRNA from 1 species
UCCGUGGUAGUAUAGUGGCUAGUAUCCUCGCCUGUCACGCGAGGGACCCGGGUUCAAUUCCCGGCUAUGGAG